rnacentral:lncRNA from 1 species
GCCGCGGAACAAGUACAAGCACACCCUCAUCGCCACGACUGCGACUCCGCGGCGGAGCAGCCUGCCGGGCCGUGGGCAAGUGCACAGAGCGGGCUUUGAGGAUCGUCGUGCCAUUCACAUGUAGACGUGGCCGCGGCGUUCGCAUGAGGUCUACGGUCUUGUACGCAGAUGCUUUCCACUGAAGUCGGUAGAUGCACACCACUGUGCGUCCGUCCUGGGUGCAGGGAGCGGACAGGACAGGGGGCCCUUGGGCAGUCUUGUUAGUUCAGGAGAACGUGGAAGGGACGGGAAGAUUCAUCCAGAAAGCCCUACCUGAUCUUCAGUUUUUAUUUCAAAUGCUAAAUGAGAAAACUGUCCAUUUUCUGAAACCCUCCAGAAAAGAAACUGGUUAUCAGCAGCUGCCUAAUUGUUACACUAACAAUCUAGCUUUAACAAAAGCAAAUUUUUUAUUUUUUAAAUGCAGUGAAUUUUUCAAAAAUUAAAGCUAAGCAAAGCAGCUUUAGCCUCAGUUAGAAAAAAUUAUUUCUUUGGACUCAAGCUGACAUACAAGCCUUACAUCGCCUUAUGCUUUUAUUUCUUUAUAAUGUUUUUAUAUAUAAAGAUAAGGGUUCUUUAGUGGGUUUUGAGCACUGUGUAGACUUGUGCAUCUGGCCCGAAGGGCAGCAUGCCUGCACCACUGGUGUGUUUUAUUUCGCUGAUGCUUCAUCCUGGUGUAUGAAGCUUGCUUCUCUCUCCUCUCAAGGACCAGGGCAGCUCCUGCUGGCCAGAGGGCUUCUGGGCCGGUGGGGGGGGGGGGCAGGAGAAAGAAAAGCCAACACCCUCCAUAGACGGCUGAUGCAUUACUGGUCCUUGGUCCCAACCUGCCUGUUUGCUGCAUGCUGGGGACGAGUGAGAAGCAGAUGGGCCCUGCAUGGGGUUGGCCGGAACUCUGCUGUCGCCUUUUCUCAGGAGCUACAAAGAUCUCAUUCCCGUUCAGAAGCUGCCACACCCCAGCAGCCUUGUGGUCAGGGCCCCACGUGUGGGGUGUGUCUGGAGGGGUAGCUCCGUGCCUUACUGGCUCCCAGCAGGCAGAGACCGCUCCUGCGCACACGCCUGUGCACUUGCUGGGGCGGCGGGCCAUGGGCUCAGAGUCCACUCUGGUAGACCAUGGUGUACUCUCUGGUAAGCUGGUGUCUGCGGGCUGCUUCCAACUCCCUGGUGGACUGCAGUCUGUGCUGGUGCCAUGGGAAGAACAGCAUUGGGCGUUUUUUUCUUCAGGGUUAAAAUCAGGGAUAGGGUGUGGUGAGAAAGCAGGAUGCAACUGUAGUAAUUGAAAUUUAUCUUUUCCUUAAAGUGGAUAAUGGGUAAUUUGUCAAUAAAGCAUUCCUUUGGGGAAGAACCCA